rnacentral:lncRNA from 1 species
GUAAGCUGUGGUGUAUAAUAAUAGAAACCUUUUCCAAUGAAAAUCCUCAAAGUGACUCUGCUCUUCUGAGCCACAACUUCCGGAGGUCAGACAAAGCCAGGGCCAAAUGAGAACCAACAGCAGUUGCACAAAACGGCUGCCAACAUAUGAUAUCGCAAAUUGCCCUAAGAGAUCUUGGCUCUUAUUAGCUGGGACUUGGUUCAUUCAACGCUGCGCUGCUCCAGGCAAGACGCAGAAUCCCCACUAAGCAGGCUCCUGUUCGGUGAGGUGUGUGACUGGAUUUAAUGUUGUCCGGAUAAAGGAUUUUCUUUGACAAGAGAAGAUGCCCUUUGAGAGUCACUGAACUUCCAAGGCCUGGCCCUAUCCCUUUGAAUCACAAUAUCUGAAUUCUAAUCUCCAAUCUUCUAUUUAUUAAUUUUUUCAAAGUCUCUGAGCCUUGUGAGGAACAAAACUGCCUGCAGAAAUUGAGAAGCUAUUUUCACAGUAACAUGUCAGAUGUAGUCAGGAAUGUUGCUUUGGUAUCGGACGAUAAUGCAGGACUCAGAGUGGAAGGAGGGUCAACCUCCCUACUGCUAUACAAAAUAUACCUGACACCUCAAGAGUUGUUGCCGCUGAAAGCAUAGGAGACAGCAUUUUCAACAUGAAACACCUUGGCACAGGUGGCAGUGACGGCAAUGAGACCUACUCAAGGGACUUUUCACCAUGGACACUGGUGAUAGAUGAGGACACAAAGAGAUUCUGGUGGAUAUUCUGAUUAAUUCUUCAACACCCAUGAGGCACUUCUGGGAACUUUUAGAC